rnacentral:lncRNA from 1 species
ACAUCCAAUUCAGUGCUUUUAAAUUCAGAUCAUUGGAAAUGAAUUUCUUAUAAUUUCAUAAGGAGUGGAACACUGAACACUAGCAAAAAAUGAACUGUGAGCUAAGUACCAAACGAAAGUUUGGUAAAAACUUUGUACUUUGGUAAAAAGUUUGUCUUAAAUCUUCUUAGUCUGUUUGUUGUGCAAGGAAUCAGAGGAAAUUAUUCACCGGGAUUUGUCAGGUGUAUCCAAUUACCUCAACCAACUUUGAAAUCAAUUUAGUCUAUUUGGAAUGGUUUACCAGGUUGAAGUCAACCUUCUUUUCUAGUAUAGUUGUGGUGACAAAAAUAACUUUUAUUCUAGAAUCUUAUUCUUUUGUAGUUGUAAAAUUGUUUAACAGAAUGAACCCCUGCUUUCUUUAGAACUACUGUGGAUUUAGUAUGCUGAUUGG